rnacentral:rRNA from 1 species
UAAAUUUUAAAAUUAUAAUACUAAAAUAGUAAAUAAUUAUUUAUUAAAACUUAAAUAAUUUGGCGGUAUUUUAGUUCAUUUAGAGGAAUCUGUUUAAUAAUUGAUAUUCCACGAAUAAAUUUACUUAAUUUUUAAUUUUGUAUAUCGUUGUUAUAAAAAUAUUUUUUAAUAAAAUUAAUAUUUAAAAAUUAUUAUAAAAAUUUAAAUCAGAUCAAGAUGCAGAUUAUAGUUAAGAAUAUAAUGGAUUACAAUAAAAUUAUUUAAAUGGAUGUUAAUUUGUAAGAUUUAAUUGAAAGUGGAUUUAAAUGUAAUUUUAUUUAAUUUAAUAAAAUGAUUAAAAAUUAAAAUAUGUACACAUCGC